GACGGAGGGUGCAAGUGUUAUCCGGAAUCACUGGGCGUAAAGCGUCUGUAGGUCGUUUAAAAAGUCUACUGUUAAAAAUUGAAGCUUAACUUCAAAGGUGCCGUAGAAACUUUUAAACUUGAGUAUGGUAGGGGUAGAGGGAAUUUCCAGUGGAGCGGUGAAAUGCGUAGAUAUUGGAAAGACCACCAAUGGCGAAGGCACUCUACUGGGCCAUUACUGACACUGAGAGACGAAAGCUAGGGGAGCAAAUGGG
rnacentral:rRNA from 1 species